CUACGGGAGGCAGCAGUGGGGAAUCUUGGACAAUGGGGGCAACCCUGAUCUAGCCAUGCCGCGUGAGUGAUGAAGGCCUUAGGGUCGUAAAGCUCUUUCGCCUGUGAUGAUAAUGACAGUAGCAGGUAAAGAAACCCCGGCUAACUCCGUGCCAGCAGCCGCGGUAAUACGGAGGGGGUUAGCGUUGUUCGGAAUUACUGGGCGUAAAGCGCGCGUAGGCAGAUUAGAAAGUUGGGGGUGAAAUCCCGGGGCUCAACCCCGGAACUGCCUCCAAAACUGCUAGUCUAGAGUUCGUGAGAGGUGAGUGGAAUUCCGAGUGUAGAGGUGAAAUUCGUAGAUAUUCGGAGGAACACCAGUGGCGAAGGCGGCUCACUGGCUCGAUACUGACGCUGAGGUGCGAAAGUGUGGGGAGCAAACAGGAUUAGAUACCCUGGUAGUCCACACCGUAAACGAUGAAUGCCAGUCGUCGGAUAGUAUACUAUUCGGUGACACACCUAACGGAUUAAGCAUUCCGCCUGGGGAGUACGGUCGCAAGAUUAAAACUCAAAGGAAUGACGG
rnacentral:rRNA from 1 species